UACGUAGGGGGCAAGCGUUGUCCGGAUUCAUUGGGCGUAAAGAGCGUGUAGGCGGCCCAGGUAGGUCGGUUGUGAAAACUGGAGGCUCAACCUUCAGAGGUCGACCGAAACCAUCUGGCUAGAGUCCGGGAGAGGAGAGUGGAAUUCCUGGUGUAGCGGUGAAAUGCGCAGAUAUCAGGAAGAACACCCGUGGCGAAAGCGGCUCUCUGGAACGGUACUGACGCUGAGACGCGAAAGCGUGGGGAGCGAACAGG
rnacentral:rRNA from 1 species